rnacentral:rRNA from 1 species
AUUGAACGCUGGCGGCAGGCUUAACACAUGCAAGUCGAACGCAUCCUUCGGGAUGAGUGGCAGACGGGUGAGUAACGCGUGGGAACGUGCCCUUUGGUUCGGAAUAACCCAGGGAAACUUGGGCUAAUACCGGAUAAGCCCUUACGGGGAAAGAUUUAUCGCCGAAGGAUCGGCCCGCGUCCGAUUAGCUAGUUGGUGAGGUAACGGCUCACCAAGGCGACGAUCGGUAGCUGGUCUGAGAGGAUGAUCAGCCACACUGGGACUGAGACACGGCCCAGACUCCUACGGGAGGCAGCAGUGGGGAAUAUUGGACAAUGGGGGCAACCCUGAUCCAGCCAUGCCGCGUGAGUGAUGAAGGCCCUAGGGUUGUAAAGCUCUUUCGGCGGGGACGAUAAUGACGGUACCCGCAGAAGAAGCCCCGGCUAACUUCGUGCCAGCCGCCGCCGUAACAC